rnacentral:rRNA from 1 species
UACGUAGGUGGCAAGCGUUGUUCGGAUUUACUGGGCGUAAAGGGCGCGUAGGCGGUCGUGACAAGUCACUUGUGAAAUCUCCGGGCUUAACUCGGAACGGUCAAGUGAUACUGUCGGACUAGAGUACAGAAGGGGCAACUGGAAUUCUCGGUGUAGCGGUGAAAUGCGUAGAUAUCGAGAGGAACACCUGCGGCGAAGGCGGGUUGCUGGGCUGAUACUGACGCUGGAGGCGCGAAAGCCAGGGGAGCGAACGGG